CUUCUCAAAACCCAAAAUCCUUACUCUCCUUCAAUAUACAGCUCCCCUCUUCUUCAAUGAAUGCUAUGGAAUUUCAAAAGAAUAUCUCGGUAUCAAUGAUGCAUGCUUCUUGGUAUUUCUCUAUCUUAUAUAGAAGAGGUUCUGCAUUUUGUACUUUUCUUCACAGUUUUAAUGGUCCUGGUGGUUCUGCAUCUAUUCCAAUUGUACUUUUCUUCACAAUUUUAAUGGUCCUGAGCAGCAAAACGAAUUCUUCCUAAGGUUCACCUCCCUUUCUGCCAAAGCCAACAACGACAACAACACCGAUCUCUUCACCUCCUUGAUCUCAGACAUCAAAUCCUACUCUGGCAACGACCCUCUUCUCGCAUGGCUCCAAUAUGCCUCUCUCUUUCUUUGUGGGUAGCUCUUUUAAUGGUUUUAAAAAGUAAGAUUGUUUGGCAUUUUGUAUAUACAGAGGGAUCAGAAAGAUGAAGGAUUCGCUGCCUUCGCAAGUACUGAACGAGAAGCUGCCACGGUUUUUGCAGAAGUGCGCGCAAACCUUCGAUUCCGAUCGCCGUUACAAAAACGACUUACGGUACCUCCGCGUUUGGUUACAGUUGAGAUGAGGUGGGUUCUUUCUAAAAUCCUUGAUAGCUCUUUCUCUCGCUGUCAAUGGCAGACAAGAAAUUAGGGUUCUUCACUAUAAAAGAAGAGGAUUAUGGAGGCAUAAAGAGAGGGGAGGCACGUACUACUACAGAAAGAAGGAUCACCAAAGAGUAAGACCUUUCUUUUAUUCUGCACUUUUAUUUAGUUGCUUUUCUGAAAUUUAAUAAUUUGUUAAGAUAAAGAGAGGCUGGAACCACUACCAGUGAGUUUUUAUCUUCAAUUUAAGUUUGUUUAUUAAUUGUGAUUAGGUUUUGAUAUUCACAACCAACCCAAUAUCAGAUCGCUGGAACUGCUACAAGUAAAAUCGUUUAUGUUAAUUUUGUGCGUUUAAUAGGAUUUAGGUUUUGCUAUUUUGGUUGGUUGGUUUUGAUUUAAGAAAUUGGUUUAGAUUUUGUAUAGUCAAAACCUAAUAUAGAUUCCUUUCAAUAUAUAACCCUCUAUAUAUUCCCAUCAGUGGCCAUAGAAGAGUGACCACUCUCUAACAAACUGAUUUUAUUUUGGUUUAUUUGGAAAUAUCUCAUGUCUCAUUCUUUUAAUGUGUUGUGGCUUAUAAGAGAAGAGCCAGUUAUGAGGAGAAGUUUGUUGAUUCUAUGUAGAAGAAAGCUAAGGUAACAAUUCCUUGCUGAUUGUUCUCUGCAUAAUCUGCCAUCUAAUUGGUUAUCAAUCAUAGAGUUCAAAUACUUUUCUAGGUUUUGUUUUAUAGUUCUCAAGUUUCCUUUGUUGUGGCAGGAGGAAAAAGGUUGAAUUUGCAUCAAAGAGAUUCUUGGUAUUCUUUCGUGGACUUACAGAUUGAUUAAUUUUGAUAGCAACCAGAUUCCAAGAUCCUUCAAAGGCAAUGAUUUUUUAAGAUAUAAUAUUUGGUUCCGGAAAAUUAGCCUGUUUUCUAUUGAAACUAACAGAAUUUGUAUUGCUCUAUUUAUUUAUUUGGUUGGUUGAGAAAUUCUGUUAAUGGGUUUUGUUGGUGAGAAUUUCUACGCUGAAUCUAAAAUUUAAUACUAAAUAUUAAAUUUGAUGUUCACUUCUUACUUUUUUUUUUCUUGUCCUAAUUUCGCUGUCUCAUUGACAGGCUUCAAGCGUAGGAAUGGUGCACACAAUCUUUCAUUAAUAACUAUGCAAGUUUGUAUUAAUUUCAUGUGAUUUUUUUUAUUUUUUAUUAUUUUUAUGAUAGUUAGAUAUCUAUUUGCUUAUGAAUGAUAUCAGAUCUGACCCUCACUUAAACAAAACAUAAGGUAUAACAUUCACAAAACUUAACGUAAGGUAUCCUAUGCUUUCUUGCUUUCUGAGAAAAUUUCAUUUCCAUUCCAUGUGUUUGUCACAGGUUUUUGUUUUGUGUGUCUUUGGGUUAAUAAGGCAACAAAACUAAAGUUUUUAAGGCUGUCUGAGACUGUCAACAACAUCACAUAAUGGUAGCUUAAAUUCUUCUUUCAUUGCUGAUUUUUUUCAUUUGCUUUGAUUUGUAAAUAAGGACUGUGUUUUUGGAGAAGUGAAUAAUGACUCUAAGUUCGUUACAUUUCAUACUGAUUGAACUGUUGAUUGCCUGAAUGGAAGUAUAUAAAUGUUGGUCAUUUUGGAGUAGGAAUUUGUCAUGAUAUAUGCUUCUCUAAAGUUGCUACAUUCCUGUCAAGGUGUGGAUUUUGAGAUUAAGUUGCUCACAAUUGGUGGGAGAAGAUUGAAGCUUACAAUUUGGGACAUAGGCAACUGCUGGAAUUAUUUUGAAUUAUAGUUUCAUUUUAAUCUUUGAUUAAUGAUGCUUUUGGAAGUGAUAGUUUAUGCUAACAUGUAAUCUUUCUCUUCUUUCAAGUUAGUCAUUGCUUUUGGUGCAUAAAUAGAUUGUAGAGCUAUUAACAAUAGCUGAAAGAUAUGUAUAUUUGAUUUUUAGUUGGGUGAACUUUUGGAUUUUAAUAGAAACAUUUAACCUUCGGAUGUUGAAAAAACAAGAAGGUAAAAUGUUCUGUAAAUUUUAAUUUUGUGAAACUGAUCAAUGGCAAUUUGAAGUGUUA